rnacentral:rRNA from 1 species
UACAGAGGGGGCAAGCGUUGUUCGGAAUUACUGGGCGUAAAGGGCGCGUAGGCGGCCUUCUAAGUCGAACGUGAAAUCCCCGGGCUCAACCCGGGAACUGCGUCCGAUACUGGAAGGCUUGAAUCCGGGAGAGGGAUGCGGAAUUCCAGGUGUAGCGGUGAAAUGCGUAGAGAUCUGGAGGAACACCGAUGGCGAAGGCAGCCCCCUGGGCUAACACUGACGCUCAUGCACGAAAGCGUGGGGAGCAAACAGG